rnacentral:rRNA from 1 species
GACGAACGCUGGCGGCGUGCCUAAUACAUGCAAGUCGAGCGGACAGAAGGGAGCUUGCUCCCGGAUGUUAGCGGCGGACGGGUGAGUAACACGUGGGUAACCUGCCUGUAAGACUGGGAUAACUCCGGGAAACCGGAGCUAAUACCGGAUAGUUCCUUGAACCGCAUGGUUCAAGGAUGAAAGACGGUUUCGGCUGUCACUUACAGAUGGACCCGCGGCGCAUUAGCUAGUUGGUGGGGUAAUGGCUCAC